rnacentral:rRNA from 1 species
GACGAACGCUGGCGGCGUGCUUAACACAUGCAAGUCGAGCGGUAAGGCCCUUUCGGGGGUACACGAGCGGCGAACGGGUGAGUAACACGUGGGUGACCUGCCCUCAGCUCUGGGAUAAGCCUGGGAAACCGGGUCUAAUACUGGAUAUGACUCCAUGACGCAUGUUGUGGGGUGGAAAGCCUUGUGCGGCUGAGGAUGGGCCCGCGGCCUAUCAGCUUGUUGUGGGGUGAUGGCCUACCAAGCGACGACGGGUAGCGGCCUGAGAGGGCGACCGGCCACACUGGGACUGAGACACGGCCCAGACUCCUACGGGAGGCAGCGAGUGGGGAAUCUUGCGCAAUGGGCGAAAGCCUGACGCAGCGACGCCGCGUGAGGGAUGACGGCCU